GAUGAGAUUCAUGCCAACUGGAAGCCAUGACUGCCGCCUUAGCUUCACAUCUGUCUCCCCAGCACAGCACCCGUGUCUCACUCUGCUUCAGCCACAACCAGGUUUGUACAACCUGUCUCCUCCAUUACCCCAUUAGCUGCUGGGAGGUGUGAGUAGUGUCCCCCCACCAGGUUCCCCUGGGAGCUGGUUUGGGCCUGGCACCUGGUAAAUUGAGGCUUGGCCUAAACUGAGUAAGGAGUUCAUGUUAGAAGCAGCUAAGAGACGCUUCCCGGGCCUUCUUGGCGCAAAUGGUAGUUAGAAGAUGAAACUAAUAGCUCCUUAUUUUUAAACUAGCGUGGAAUAGGGAGAAUACGGCUGAAGUACGACUUAGGGGAACUGCCUUGAGUAGUGACUCUGCUACUUCCUAGUUGGACGACUUUGGGCAAGUUAUUUAAUCCAUUUGAGUUUGAGUUUCUGGCAUAAAAUAUGUGUCCUAAUUAAUCUGAGGCUUAUUAAGAGAAUUGCAUGAGAUCACACAGGUGAAAAUACUUGUAAACGGGAGCCACAAGGUGGACAAUUUUUGUGCUAUUGAAAAAAAUACAAUGAAUAAGUCUGGUUAUUGUAGCAGAGUUUUGUCAUGUUCUAUUUCAUCUCUCCUUCUCUUUCUCUUUUGCAGUCACCACCCAAAUACCGGCUCUUAUGGAGCUCAUGUCAGAGUGGGGGAAAUAGACAAACGGAAAUAGGACGCUGUAUUAACACGCAUACAUAGGUAGCUGGCGAUUUGCCCAAAGCCUAUGCUUCUCUUUGUACAGUGUAGAAUUGUUACCGUCUCAACAGGAGCGAGGAUUACAUUUUCCUGCCUUCCUUGUAUCCAAGAGUGGCCAUAUGAUUACUUCCUGCCCAUGGACUGUAGGUAGAAGUGAUGCAUGUUGCUUCUGAGUGGAGCGUUUAAGGAGUGGGUGGGUGUUCUCCAUGUUUCUCUCUUUCCCUCUGUAGUUUGAGAGGGAGGGACUUUGAGGCUGUAAAGGAUGACAGGUUCACGAGAUGGAAGGAACCUGGGUUCUGGAAUCACCGUGUGGAAGGAAGCCAUUCGCUGACCAGGAACAUCACCCUGGGCUGAUACAGGAGUGAGAAAUCAACUUCUGUUGUCUUAGUCUGCUGAAAUGGUCUCAGUUUCCUUACAUGAAACAUUAGUAUUUUCCAGUUGACCCCCUUACUCCUAGCCACACAAAUAAUCUUCCUCUGGAUCCACCUGCUUUAAACAGAGCAGCGCAGGGGUUAUAAAUACCCAGAAAGUUGUUUAUCACAGCAAGAACUAAAAAAGUGCCUGUUUUCUUUCUUUCUGCCUUUUAAGCACCAACAAUAUCUGCCACAGUGUAAACACCCCACACAUCGUCUUUAUUGAAUUGAAUCAAGGGUGCUAGGAAAUACAUUAAAUUGACUAAAAGAAGGUACACUUUAUUUUAAACGUGGAGCUGUGAGGGCAACUAGUAUCUUAACCAGUUGCACGAAACAGUUUGUAGGUCCACCGGUGAUGCAGAAGGAAAGAGCUGGUUUGUGCCAUGUGGUGACAUCUAACAGAUACCACCAGGUGUUUCUGACUUGUUGCUGGGUGACCGUUGUUUCACAUUUAAGGUCACUGGCCACAGACACCUGCAUUUUUGCAUGUUAUUGCUGAGACCGCAAAAGCCCUCUGAGGGGUUAAGCAAUUUGCCUAAGGUCACAUGAUAGGUAAGAGGAGGGAGACGGGUUUCCAUCCGGGUCUGUCUGACCCCACAGUCCAGCACUGGCCACCACCACGUUUCACAGCAGAACAAGGAACUCUUGACUUGUGUGAGUGACACGAAUGUGACAUUGGGAUAUAAAUCAUUACUGUGGUGCACUUCUGGGCCCCAGGUUGUGUGGUUGGACUGACGCUGGGCCUUUGUUGAAGGUUCAGGCUGAUGUCCAUUAACCUGCUGACCGAUCUAGCCUGGGAGUCUGGCUCAACUCAUUCCUCUGGAAGAGAUGGAAAUACAUCCCAUUUUGGAAAAUACAAGAAGCAAUAAUGAAAAAAAUGAAAAUAAUCUAUAAUCCUACUAGCCAAAGAUAACUACAAUCAACAUUUUGGGAUUUUCCCUGUGACUUUUCAAAAUGUAUUUUAUCCUGCUUGUUGUUAGCGCAUGACUUUAUAUCUUGAGGAUUUUUUCAUGUUGUGACUUUGUAAACAUCUGUUUCACGGAAGAAGGGCAAAAUGAAUAUUUUGAAGACUUAGGAAAUGAUUUCUGAAGUUAAUUGCACCAAUUUACAGUCUUACCUGAUACAUGUGAGAGUUUCUUUCCUUUUUUUUUAACUUUAAGUUAAAUGAAAUUACAUUAAAUUUUUACUUUCAUUCUUUGAGAGUUUCUAUUUCACUUUUCCCAAUAUACUUUGCAGAUGCGUUAAACAUCUUUGGUGUUAAAACAAAAUUUUUUAAAAAAGGUAUUUUAUCACAAUUCUUUGAAGUCUGUGUCGAUUCCAUGCCUCCUCUGGGGUUGCUCAGUUGGCUGGAAAAACAACCAUGCUGGUUGGUUUCACUUAACUCCAUAACUAGUGAUCUCAAGUGAGCUUUUGUUUUUGCAAUCUGCCUCCAUUUUCCACUCUCCUAAACUAUUUCACACCUUCUCCUCUUUCCUCCAACCUUCGUCUCCCUCCUCACUCUCUGCUGAUGAUCUCAGUCCGUAUUUCAUAGAGAACAUGAAUAGAGCUCCCACAUGCUAUCCUGGCCAUCCUGCUUGUAUUGAUGCCCAUUUACUCUACUCUAUCAUGAUGCCCAUGAUCUGAGAUCAGUCCCUUUUGAUGCUCUCUAGAUUUAAUCCUUUCUUGCCCACCUAAGCACUUCACUCUGGCAAGUCUCUUCUCUUUCUCCUACAUUAUUAUUCCAGUUAUCAUACAAACAUGCUCUAAUGUCUCCGAUCUUAAAAACAAAACAAACCUCCAAACCUCCAUUGACUUCACAUCUCCCUCCCACAUCUAGCUACUGCCUCUCUUUUGUCCUUUAGAGCAAAGUCUUCAAAAGAUUUGUGCCACAGUCUCUGCUUCCUCUCCUCCCCAUUCUCUUUUGGCCACACUGAAUCAGGUUUCACUCUGCCCAAAGGGCCAUUGUCAAGGUCCCCAGUGAUCCCAUGUUGCCAGUGGUCAAUGCAUCUUCUCCACCCCUGUAGCAUUUGAUACAGUCGGUCAUUCCUGAAGACUUGCUUCAUACUGGCUUCUGAGAUACUGCUGAUUCCCCUGCCUACUGGGUGCUUUUCUCAGAGUCUUUGCAGUUUCUCUGUAUCUCCAUAUCUUAAGGUUGGAGGCUCCAAGGUUUAGCCCUUGGACCUCCUCUCCUCUUUAUUUACUUUCAUUGCCUUUUGACCAGUUCAGUCUCAUGACUUUAUAUGGCAUCUACAUCCUGAUGACUCCAAAAUUGAUAUCUCCAGCAUGAUCUUCUCCCUGAGCCCCUGACUCAUGCAUCCAACUGCCUGCGUGACUUUGCCAAUUGAUAAUCUAACAUCUCAAAAUUAUCACAUCCAAACAAUCUCCUGAUUCCGUCCUUAUCAUCAACACGCAGUCUCCCUCAGGCAAACACUCUCCUUCCACGAAUUUGCUGAGGCCCAAAACUUUGGAGUCAGCUUUGAUUCUUCUCUUUCUUUCAUACUUCUGAUCCAGUCUGCCAGGGAUUCUGUUGACUCUACUUCCAAAGGAUGCCACAUCCCCCUCUCACUCCCUUCAGCACUUCCAGCCUGGUCUGAGCCACUACUGGUUCUCACCUGGAUGACUGCAAAGCCUCCCGGUUAAUCUCCGUCAUUCGGCCUUUCCCAUUCCCCCUUUUCCCCACAUCUAUCCUCCACACAGUGGCUGACUCAUCCUUUUAAAGCUAAAUUCAGAUCAUGUCAGUCCUCCUGGCAGAAUCCUCCCAUGGCUUGCCGUCCACCCCACACAGAGUAAAGCCAAGGUCCUGGCCUACAGGCCCCGUGCCCACCAGUCCCUGCUGUUCUCUACCUUCAUCUCCUCCUGCCGCCCCCCUGCUCGCUGUGCUCCAGCCAAAUGGGCCUCCUUGCUGUUCCUCAGGCAUGCUCAGCUUAGAGCCUUUAUGCUCACUGUUUACAUAGUCAGGGUGUUCUUCCCUAGCUAGCUCAUUGCUUUAGCCUCCUUUCCUUUUUGCCUCUUUUCCUGGGUGUCCCGGAAGGGGCCACCGUGAAAAGGCCUUUACAGAGAGGAGUAACAGAUCAACCAGAGGAUAGAUGCAGGUGUUCUUGUCAAGGGGACUACAAGAGAGUGCCCCCACUGACUGGGGGUAUCUGCUACGAACCCAUUCCUGCCCCACGAGAGGAAGAUUCAGUUUCCAACACCUUCUCGUCUCAGAGAGAGCCAUGUCAGUUUAUGACAGUACCUGACAAGGAGGAGGUUUCUUUCCCCCCUAAUGCCUCACUUCUCCCCUCCUCCCCACCUCCCACCCACUAUCCCAGGAGGGGUCAGAAAUGAUGGGGAACAAAAUGGUGAAGGAGGGGUAAGAGAGGAGUAAACAUAAAAUGUUAUUAAG